AUUGAACGCUGGCGGCAUGCUUUACACAUGCAAGUCGAACGGCAGCGCGGGCUUCGGCCUGGCGGCGAGUGGCGAACGGGUGAGUAAUGCAUCGGAACGUGCCCAGUAGUGGGGGAUAGCCCGGCGAAAGCCGGAUUAAUACCGCAUACGACCUGAGGGUGAAAGCGGGGGACCGAAAGGCCUCGCGCUAUUGGAGCGGCCGAUGCCGGAUUAGCUAGUUGGUGGGGUAAAGGCUUACCAAGGCGACGAUCCGUAGCUGGUCUGAGAGGACGACCAGCCACACUGGAACUGAGACACGGCCCAGACUCCUACGGGAGGCAGCAGUGGGGAAUUUUGGACAAUGGGGGCAACCCUGAUCCAGCCAUGCCGCGUGCGGGAAGAAGGCCUUCGGGUUGUAGACCGCUUUUGUUCGGGAAGAAAUCCUCUGGGCUAAUACCCCGGGGGGAUGACGGUACCGGAAGAAUAAGCACCGGCUAACUACGUG
rnacentral:rRNA from 1 species